CCCCUUGUUGACAUUUCUCUAAGUCUCGGUACAGUUCUGCAAGGAUCAUAGGUGUUAUGCUGAAUGUCUACCCGCCGAUACCCUCCAUUACGGCUUUGGUUACCAUGGCUAGUCUUGUUUGGAUCUAGCCUUCUUCAUCGGAAAAACAAUCAUGCCCAGGAAACAGAACAUGAAUACAAAGGCCCUCCUAUGUAUAUGCCCCAAAUAGGUGAGGGCGAACUCGUCCAUAUGAUUGUUGUAUGAUUUACUAUGUCCGAACCUUUCAUACAUGAAGUCAAAGGUUAUGUAGGAGUCCUUCAAACUUGUCAGAUUAGGAUUCUUUUUUAGCCCCAUCAUUUUCAAGAACCCUCUACCUUUGUGGUUUUCUAGCAUGAGCAGCCACGGG
rnacentral:lncRNA from 1 species